rnacentral:rRNA from 1 species
GACGAACGCUGGCGGCGUGCCUAAUACAUGCAAGUCGAGCGAAUCGAUGGGAGCUUGCUCCCUGAGAUUAGCGGCGGACGGGUGAGUAACACGUGGGUAACCUGCCUGUAAGACUGGGAUAACUUCGGGAAACCGGAGCUAAUACCGGAUACUUUCUUUUCUCGCAUGAGGGAAGAUGGAAAGAUGGUUCUGCUAUCACUUACAGAUGGACCCGCGGCGCAUUAGCUAGUUGGUGAGGUAACGGCUCACCAAGGCAACGAUGCGUAGCCGACCUGGGCGGGUGAUCGGCCACACUGGGACUGAGACACGGCCCAGACUCCUACGGGAGGCAGCAGUAGGGAAUCUUCCGCAAUGGACGAAAGUCUGACGGAGCAACGCCGCGUGAGCGAAGAAGGCCUUCGGGUCGUAAAGCUCUGUUGUUAGGGAAGAACAAGUACGAGAGUAACUGCUCGUACCUUGACGGUACCUAACCAGAAAGCCACGGCUAACUACGUGCCAGCCGCCGCAGUAAUAC